CAAUAACGUAUAUUAAAGUUGUUGCGGUUAAAAGCUCGUAGUUGGAUUUCUGUCGAAAUUGAUCGGUCCCCACUCUGUGGGCGUAUCUGACUUGAUUUUGGCAUCCUCCUGUGGAACGUUUCUGUCCUUAAUUGGGUGGAGCGGGACCCAGGACUUUUACUUUGAGGAAAUUCGAGUGUUUACGGCAGGCAAUCGCCCUGAAGAUAUUAGCAUGGAAUAAUAAUAUAGGACCUUGGUUCUAUUUUGUUGGUUUCUAGAGCUGAGGUAAUGAUUAAUAGGGAUAUUUGGGGGCAUUCGUAUUAACCGGUCAGAGGUGGAAUUCUUGGAUUCGGUUACGACGAACUACUGCGAAAGCAUUUGCCAAGAAUGUUUUCAUUGAUCAAGAACGAAAGUGUGGGGAUCGAAGACGAUCAGAUACC
rnacentral:rRNA from 1 species